UGGGGAAUUUUGGACAAUGGGCGCAAGCCUGAUCCAGCCAUGCCGCGUGCAGGAUGAAGGCCUUCGGGUUGUAAACUGCUUUUGUACGGAACGAAAAGGUGCCUUCUAAUAAAGGGCGCUCAUGACGGUACCGUAAGAAUAAGCACCGGCUAACUACGUGCCAGCAGCCGCGGUAAUACGUAGGGUGCGAGCGUUAAUCGGAAUUACUGGGCGUAAAGCGUGCGCAGGCGGUUUUGUAAGACAGAGGUGAAAUCCCCGGGCUCAACCUGGGAAGUGGCUUUGGGACUGCAAGGUUGGAGUGCGGCAGAGGGGGAUGGAAUUCCGGUUGUAGCAGUGAAAUGCGUAGAUAUGCGGAGGAACACCGAUGGCGAAGGCAAUCCCCUGGGCCUGCACUGACGCUCAUGCACGAAAGCGUGGGGAGCAAACA
rnacentral:rRNA from 1 species